rnacentral:tRNA from 1 species
AGCCUUAAAGGCUAACUGGAUAGCAGUUAA